AAACACACUAGGGUUAGACCAGGUUGAGGUGAGUCCUGGACAAACAAACACACUAGGGUUAGACCAGGUUGAGGUGAGUCCUGGACAAACAAACACACUAGGAUUAGACCAGGUUGAGGUGAGUCCUGAACAAACACACUAGGAUUAGACCAGGUUGAGGUGAGUCCUGAACAAACAAACACACUAGGAUUAGACCAGGUUGAGGUGAGUCCAGAACAAACAAACACACUAGGGUUAGACCAGGUUGAGGUGAGUCCUGGACAAACAAACACACUAGGGUUAGACCAGGUUGAGGUGAGUCCUGAACAAACAAACACACUAGGAUUAGACCAGGUUGAGGUGAGUCCUGAACAAACACACUAGGAUUAGACCAGGUUGAGGUGAGUCCUGAACAAACACUAGGGUUAGACCAGGUUGAGGUGAGUCCAGAACAAACAAACACACUAGGAUUAGACCAGGUUGAGGUGAGUCCUGAACAAACACACUAGGGUUAGACCAGGUUGAGGUGAGUCCUGAACAAACACACUAGGAUUAGACCAGGUUGAGGUGAGUCCAGAACAAACAAACACACUAGGAUUAGACCAGGUUGAGGUGAGUCCUGAACAAACACACUAGGGUUAGACCAGGUUGAGGUGAGUCCUGAACAAACACACUAGGAUUAGACCAGGUUGAGGUGAGUCCAGAACAAACAAACACACUAGGAUUAGACCAGGUUGAGGUGAGUCCAGAACAAACAAACACACUAGGAUUAGACCAGGUUGAGGUGAGUCCAGAACAAACAAACACACUAGGGUUAGACCAGGUUGAGGUGAGUCCAGAACAAACAAACACACUAGGGUUAGACCAGGUUGAGGUGAGUCCUGAACAAACACACUAGGAUUAGACCAGGUUGAGGUGAGUCCUGAACAAACACACUAGGAUUAGACCAGGUUGAGGUGAGUCCUGAACAAACACACUAGGAUUAGACCAGGUUGAGGUGAGUCCUGAACAAACACACUAGGAUUAGACCAGGUUGAGGUGAGUCCUGAACAAACACACUAGGAUUAGACCAGGUUGAGGUGAGUCCAGAACAAACACACUAGGGUUAGACCAGGUUGAGGUGAGUCCUGAACAAACAAACACACUAGGGUUAGACCAGGUUGAGGUGAGUCCUGAACAAACAAACACACUAGGAUUAGACCAGGUUGAGGUGAGUCCUGAACAAACAAA